rnacentral:rRNA from 1 species
GUUUCCUACGGGGGGCAGCAGUGAGGAAUAUUGGUCAAUGGCCGUAAGGCUGAACCAGCCAAGUAGCGUGAGGGAAGACUGCCCUAUGGGUUGUAAACCUCUUUAGGCGGGGAGCAAUGCCGGGCACGCGUGCCCGGAGGGAGAGUACCCGCAGAAUAAGCAUCGGCUAACUCCGUGCCAGCAGCCGCGGUAAUACGGAGGAUGCGAGCGUUAUCCGGAUUUAUUGGGUUUAAAGGGUGCGUAGGCGGAUUUUUAAGUCAGCGGUAAAAUGUCCGGGCUCAACCCGGGCCGGCCGUUGAAACUGG